rnacentral:rRNA from 1 species
AUUGAACGCUGGCGGCAGGCCUAACACAUGCAAGUCGAACGAGUGGCGGACGGGUGAGUAAUGUCUGGGAAACUGCCUGAUGGAGGGGGAUAACUACUGGAAACGGUAGCUAAUACCGCAUACCAUCAGAUGUGCCCAGAUGGGCUUAGCUAGUUGGUGGGGUAACGGCUCACCAAGGCGACGAUCCCUAGCUGGUCUGAGAGGAUGACCAGCCACACUGGAACUGAGAACCGGCCCAGACCCCUACGGGAGGCAGCAGUGGGGAAUAUUGGACAAUGGGCGCAAGCCGGAUGCAGCCAUGCCGCGUGUAUGAAGAAGGCCUUCGGGUUGAAAAGUACUUUCAGCGGGGAGGCGUUACCCGCCGAAGAAGCACCGGCUAACUACGUGCCAGCAGCCGCGGUAAUUC